GAACGCUAGCGACAGGCUUAACACAUGCAAGUCGAGGGGCAGCGGGGGUAGCGAUACCCGCCGGCGACCGGCGCACGGGUGAGUAACGCGUAUGCAACUUGCCUAUCAGAGGGGGAUAACCCGGCGAAAGUCGGACUAAUACCGCAUGAAGCAGGGGCCCCGCAUGGGGAUAUUUGCUAAAGAUUCAUCGCUGAUAGAUAGGCAUGCGUUCCAUUAGGCAGUUGGCGGGGUAACGGCCCACCAAACCGACGAUGGAUAGGGGUUCUGAGAGGAAGGUCCCCCACAUUGGUACUGAGACACGGACCAAACUCCUACGGGAGGCAGCAGUGAGGAAUAUUGGUCAAUGGCCGAGAGGCUGAACCAGCCAAGUCGCGUGAGGGAUGAAGGUUCUAUGGAUCGUAAACCUCUUUUAUAAGGGAAUAAAGUGCGGGACGUGUCCCGUUUUGUAUGUACCUUAUGAAUAAGGAUCGGCUAACUCCGUGCCAGCAGCCGCGGUAAUACGGAGGAUCCGAGCGUUAUCCGGAUUUAUUGGGUUUAAAGGGUGCGUAGGCGGCCUUUUAAGUCAGCGGUGAAAGUCUGUGGCUCAACCAUAGAAUUGCCGUUGAAACUGGGGGGCUUGAGUAUGUUUGAGGCAGGCGGAAUGCGUGGUGUAGCGGUGAAAUGCAUAGAUAUCACGCAGAACCCCGAUUGCGAAGGCAGCCUGCCAAGCCAUUACUGACGCUGAUGCACGAAAGCGUGGGGAUCAAACAGGAUUAGAUACCCUGGUAGUCCACGCAGUAAACGAUGAUCACUAGCUGUUUGCGAUACACUGUAAGCGGCACAGCGAAAGCGUUAAGUGAUCCACCUGGGGAGUACGCCGGCAACGGUGAAACUCAAAGGAAUUGACGGGGGCCCGCACAAGCGGAGGAACAUGUGGUUUAAUUCGAUGAUACGCGAGGAACCUUACCCGGGUUUGAACGCAUUCGGACCGAGGUGGAAACACCUUUUCUAGCAAUAGCCGUUUGCGAGGUGCUGCAUGGUUGUCGUCAGCUCGUGCCGUGAGGUGUCGGCUUAAGUGCCAUAACGAGCGCAACCCUUGCCACUAGUUACUAACAGGUAAAGCUGAGGACUCUGGUGGGACUGCCAGCGUAAGCUGCGAGGAAGGCGGGGAUGACGUCAAAUCAGCACGGCCCUUACAUCCGGGGCGACACACGUGUUACAAUGGCGUGGACAAAGGGAGGCCACCUGGCGACAGGGAGCGAAUCCCCAAACCACGUCUCAGUUCGGAUCGGAGUCUGCAACCCGACUCCGUGAAGCUGGAUUCGCUAGUAAUCGCGCAUCAGCCAUGGCGCGGUGAAUACGUUCCCGGGCCUUGUACACACCGCCCGUCAAGCCAUGGGAGCCGGGGGUACCUGAAGUCCGUAACCGAAAGGAUCGGCCUAGGGUAAAACUGGUGACUGGGGCUAA
rnacentral:rRNA from 1 species